UACGUAGGUGGCAAGCGUUGUCCGGAAUCAUUGGGCGUAAAGCGCGCGUAGGCGGCCCGGUAAGUCCGUUGUGAAAGUCAAAGGCUCAACCUUUGAACGCCGAUGGAUACUGCCGGGCUAGAGUCCGGAAGAGGCGAGUGGAAUUCCUGGUGUAGCGGUGGAAUGCGCAGAUAUCAGGAGGAACACCAAUAGCGAAGGCAGCUCGCUGGGACGGUACUGACGCUGAGGCGCGAAAGCGUGGGGAGGCGAACAGG
rnacentral:rRNA from 1 species